UACAGAGGGGGCAAGCGUUGUUCGGAAUCAUUGGGCGUAAAGAGCGUGUAGGCGGCCCGGUAAGUCCGCCGUGAAAGUCCAGGGCUCAACCCUGGAAUGCCGGUGGAAACUGCCGGGCUGGAGUCCGGAAGAGGCGAGUGGAAUUCCUGGUGUAGCGGUGAAAUGCGCAGAUAUCAGGAGGAACACCAAUGGCGAAGGCAGCUCGCUGGGACGGUACUGACGCUGAGACGCGAAAGCGUGGGGAGCAAACAGG
rnacentral:rRNA from 1 species